rnacentral:lncRNA from 1 species
CAUGACCCUAAAAAUGGGAAGAACAGUCUCCAAAACAUUUCUACUCAGAAGGAUAUCCUGAAAGCUUAUUUUAUAUCUUCCUCUGGAAAAGAAUAAGCCAAAUUCAGUGCAGGUGAAGACAUGGACUGAAAUUUUCUUCGUAUUUGCCGAGUUAUGACCUGCUUGGUGUCAAAAAAUGCAUAAAUGAGAGCGGAGUUUGGACCGUGCCAUGUGAUUCAUUUUGCAAUGUCUCAGAUUCUGUACUAAGCUGUCUGUCUGGAAAUACUUCUGCUGUGGACCUCAGUGCCUCAAAUACUGAUACACUGGAAUCAGUGUACCAGUCCUGGCUGGGUGGUCCUGUGUCUGCAGCAAGAAUGUGUGCAUGUGCCAGAGAGGCGGUACGGAAAAGGAAAGGAUGUCAAGAUCAUCAGCUAGUGUGGUUGGAGCAUACCAGCCUGUGCAGUCAGUGGGAUUUGUGUGGUGAGUAUCACACCAGGUGUGUUUGAUACCUCUGCCUCAACAACCGGAGUAUCAGACCAGAAGGCAGAGGGACUGUGUAGAGCUGGAUAAAUCUUUAUUCCUGUUUAUCUGAAAUGAGG